rnacentral:rRNA from 1 species
AUUGAACGCUGGCGGCAGGCCUAACACAUGCAAGUCGAGCGGUAGCACAGAGAGCUUGCUCUCGGGUGACGAGCGGCGGACGGGUGAGUAAUGUCUGGGAAACUGCCUGAUGGAGGGGGAUAACUACUGGAAACGGUAGCUAAUACCGCAUAACGUCGCAAGACCAAAGUGGGGGACCUUCGGGCCUCAUGCCAUCAGAUGUGCCCAGAUGGGAUUAGCUAGUAGGUGGGGUAACGGCUCACCUAGGCGACGAUCCCUAGCUGGUCUGAGAGGAUGACCAGCCACACUGGAACUGAGACACGGUCCAGACUCCUACGGGAGGCAGCAGUGGGGAAUAUUGCACAAUGGGCGCAAGCCUGAUGCAGCCAUGCCGCGUGUGUGAAGAAGGCCUUCGGGUUGUAAAGCACUUUCAGCGGGGAGGAAGGCGGUGAGGUUAAUAACCUCAUCGAUUGACGUUACCCGCAGAAGAAGCACCGGCUAACUCCGUGCCAGCCGCCGCCGUAA